rnacentral:rRNA from 1 species
UCCAGCCAUGCCGCGUGCGGAAUUGACGGGACCGCACAAGCGGUGGAUGAUGUGGUUUAAUUCGAUGCAACGCGAAAAACCUUACCUACCCUUGACAUGCCAGGAACUUGCCAGAGAUGGCUUGGUGCUCGAAAGAGAGCCUGGACACAGGUGCUGCAUGGCCGUCGUCAGCUCGUGUCGUGAGAUGUUGGGUUAAGUCCCGCAACGAGCGCAACCCUUAUCAUUAGUUGCUACGCAAGGGCACUCUAAUGAGACUGCCGGUGACAAAACCGGAGGAAAGGUGGGGGAUGACGUCAGGUCAUCAUGGCCCUUAUGGGUAGGGGCUACACACGUCAUACAAUGGCCGGUACAGAGGGGCUGCCAACCCGCGAGGGGGAGGCUAAUCUCAGAAAACCGGUCGUAGUCCGGAUCGCAGUCUGCAACUCGACUGCGUGAAGUCGGAAUCGCUAGUAAUCGCGGAUCAGCUUGCCGCGGUGAAUACGUUCCCGGGUCUUGUACACACC